UACAGAGGGUGCUAGCGUUGUUCGGAAUCAUUGGGCGUAAAGGGCGUGUAGGCGGUUUGUUAAGUCAUGUGUGAAAUCCCUCGGCUCAACCGGGGAACGACGCAUGAAACUGGCAAGCUAGAGUACCAAAGAGGGGGGUGGAAUUCCCGGUGUAGCGGUGAAAUGCGCAGAUAUCAGGAGGAACACCAAUGGCGAAGGCAGCUCGCUGGGACGUGACUGACGCUGAGACGCGAAAGCGUGGGGAGCAAACAGG
rnacentral:rRNA from 1 species